CUCACAGCCACUCACUUUCUCCCCAACCUUAUAUCUUCUCUCCCACUCUCCCAUGGCACACACGGUGGUCUGCUGCUCCUGCUCCUGCUCCUCGAUGCAGGGCUGCGGGGGCCUCGCCCCGCUCGUGCUCGACGCAGGGGGCGAGGGGACCUUGCCCUGCUCCUGCUCGUCGCGCCGCUGGGGCUGCAGGGGCAGCAAGCUCCUCGACGCAGGGAAGCUAACCACGUGUAGCUAAGGAUCUCCGCGGCGGCCAUGGAGUAGCUCGGCGGGGGCGCUCGGCGCGGCUUCGGCGGGGCUCAGCGGGGGCGCGACGCAGCUUCGGCGGCCAGGGGCGGCCCGGGCCUGCGGUUCUGGCGGCAUGGGCGCGGCGCGUCUUCGACGGCCAGGCGGCCUGGGCGCGGUGCGGCCCGGCGGCGCGGGCGCUCCUUCCCGGCCCAGAUCCAGCCGGCGGUCGUCCUCCCCGAUGUCGGCAGCAUGCUCGGCCUCAGGGAGUCACGGCGGCCUCCUGCGACCGGCGGGGCGCGGAUGCGAGCACGGCGACGCUGCCGGGCUGUUUUUUUUUUCAAUCGGUUUCUAGGGGCGGGCAGCGGUGGGUGAGGACAGCUAGCUGAAAUUUUCUCCAUUUAGAUAUUGGGCUAGGGGUGUAACACGCAGCUAGACGAUGGUUUAAACAAGUUCAGACCGCUUUGAAGGCGUAAUAUUCUGUGUUAUGAGAAUUUAGUUUUUGCUCUUGUUUGUUUGUUUUUUUGGAUCAAGAGUCAAUGGCUUUAUAUGUCUUGGAACCUUCCUAUUUAUAGAAUACAACUGGUG